rnacentral:rRNA from 1 species
UACGUAGGGUGCGAGCGUUGUCCGGAAUUAUUGGGCGUAAAGAGCUCGUAGGCGGUGUGUCACGUCGGCCGUGAAAACCUGCAGCUUAACUGUGGGCGUGCGGUCGAUACGGGCAUCACUGGAGUUCGGCAGGGGAGACUGGAAUUCCUGGUGUAGCGGUGAAAUGCGCGGAUAUCAGGAGGAACACCGGUGGCGAAGGCGGGUCUCUGGGCCGAUACUGACGCUGAGGAGCGAAAGCGUGGGGAGCAAACAGG